ACAAUUACCCGGAUCAUCCUUUAUGCAUAUUAUUAAUUAAAACGAAGAACAACAAGUUAUGGAAUCAUACUCUUGUAGAUUCGAGCUUCCACAUGUACGAGUUCACCUCCUACUUCUUCGCGUUCUCCUUGAAUCUCCGGGUAGAUUCCUUCCUUUGAUCAAUGUUAGCCACCCAAUUGUAUGGCCUCUAGAGGUGAUCC
rnacentral:lncRNA from 1 species